CUCAAACUUUUAAAUAGCAUUGUAUAUUAUACAUGUCAUGUACAUAUAUGGGAUAUGUUAUCUCAAAAUGUGAAAAAAACAACUUUUUUUUUUUUUUUUUUUUUUAGUUCACCAACAUUAGUCAACCAUAUGCAGUAAUCCAACCUGUUACUGACUACAUACCAAAUCAGUUAACGAGACAGUAACUGAUCUGAUCUAAUGCUCCUAGCUGAUUGAUGAUUUUGAAACGUUGUGCAUCAGUGAAAGUCUCUCUGACAAGCACUGGGCCUCCUUUUAUCUAAAUAACUGACAGCCUCUCUCUCAUGUCAUCUGCUUAUGAAUAUUUGUCAUGCAUCUGAAAGCAGACAUAUAUUUUUUUAAACGGUGGAAUGAGAGGAUCAGACAAUGCCAAACAGCUGGAAUAAUUAUGGUGGUGAUUCCUUGUAAUGCUGGAAAGCCUUCAUACUUUUUUAAUCAAUGUUGAGGCGUAACUUCUUGUAAAAUCACCUUGUGAUAAAUAAUUUUCAACUUUAAAUCGAAGUAGACAAAGUAUAACAGCCAACUACAAUACAUCGUUGCUUUAAGCAUCUGUUUUGACAGAUUACUCAAGCGCAUGGGUAUGAUAUUAAUCAUUUUCGCAGAUUUAAUUCCGCUGUUUGAUGAAAGAAGCCCAUGUUUUGUAAGAAAAGAGAAAGUACAGGCACACAAAUGCACACAAACUGACCUCUGAGGUCAUGGGUAACUGCCAUGAGUCAUUGGGGGUGGGUGUAAUUGCGCCAGUCUUUCCCUCUCUCUUGUUCUGUAGGCGGCCUGAUAGUGAGAACAGAAGCCUAUUGCUUUCUUCAUCACCCUAACCAUCCCUGACUGAAAGCAACGGGAGGGUAGAAGGAAAACAGCAACUAAAUGGCAUACAAACAGAAGGGGUCGUUAAUGGCGCUGGCCUGUUACUCUAAUCAUUAUUUUAAUGAUGGCAUUAGUUCCACAGCUGUGAUCUGCUUUCACAGGAAACAAUGGCCUCCUCUAAGGCCCUGCUAACUUUAAAAGAGCCUGGAACAGACGGGGCCCGUGGAGGAGACUGACAGGUGAAAAAGAGCGGUGCAUGGGGAUAGAAAACCAUCUGUGUGGUGCUUUAAAGAAGCGAGGAACUGACAUGCUGAUCUGAAGAACCUAUAAAUUAAAGAAGUGACGAGUGAGAACAGAGUUGGACUGUGGACAUAACCCUGAGGAGCGCCAGACCAUGUUGCUGAGUUUCACCACUUGUGGUUUGCUGUGAUGAUAAAAUCCAGUGUUUAAUUGCCAGACAAGCUGCACAAACUCAGUGUUUCACAUCUCAAAAGAGUUUAUUUGAGGAAAUAACAGAUGAAUUUCAGAACUAAAGAGCACAACAGAUGCCCAAACAAGUCAGAGCAUAGCAAUCUGGGAAGCAUCCCGGCAAUGUUGCCCCUCUUUCAUCGAGAAUUCCACACAGCCAUAGCCUGGAAUAUUUCAAUUCCUGUUCCGAUGCCACAUGGAAGAUACAUUAGUCAGCUGACCUCUGACCCCUUGUGUGUUUCUUUGGCUCUGUGUGUGUGUGUGAGGCACAAAAAUAAACAUUUGUAUGCACAAACAUGCAGAGUAACAGGCAUUUAGACACGCACAGAGUGGCUCAUUAAUGCAGUGCUGUCAGUAGAACCCUGCUUUUUCUUCCAGAGGUUACAACAGCUGCAGCUUUCAAUGAUCCGGAAACUAAAAUAAGUAACAAAUAAUGAUGCUGAGACAUUUCAUAAAUCCCCCUUAUUACUUAGUUACAACUACUCUGACCCAAAUUAAUCCAUAAGAAAGUAACUGUUGUGUAAUUACAGGUAUUUUCAAAUGUAAAAUAAUAGAAUUCUAAGUACUUUGUUUUUGGAAUCUUA